rnacentral:rRNA from 1 species
GGGUUGUGAGGUUAAGCGACUAAGCGUACACGGUGGAUGCCCUGGCAGUCAGAGGCGAUGAAGGGCGUGCUAAUCUGCGAUAAGCGCCGGUAAGGUGAUAUGAACCGUUAUAACCGGCGAUACCCGAAUGGGGAAACCCAGUGUGAUUCGUCACACUAUCAUUAACUGAAUCCAUAGGUUAAUGAGGCGAACCGGGGGAACUGAAACAUCUAAGUACCCCGAGGAAAAGAAAUCAACCGAGAUUCCCCCAGUAGCGGCGAGCGGAACGGGGAGGAGCCCAGAGCCUGAAUCAGCAUGUGUGUUAGUGGAAGCGUCUGGAAAGGCGCGCGAUACAGGGUGACAGCCCCGUACACAAAAGCGCAUAUGCUGUGAGCUCGAUGAGUAGGGCGGGACACGUGGUAUCCUGUCUGAAUAUGGGGGGACCAUCCUCCAAGGCUAAAUACUCCUGACUGACCGAUAGUGAACCAGUACCGUGAGGGAAAGGCGAAAAGAACCCCGGCGAGGGGAGUGAAAAAGAACCUGAAACCGUGUACGUACAAGCAGUGGGAGCACAGGUUUACCUGUGUGACUGCGUACCUUUUGUAUAAUGGGUCAGCGACUUAUAUUCUGUAGCAAGGUUAACCGUAUAGGGGAGCCGUAGGGAAACCGAGUCUUAAUUGGGCGUUAAGUUGCAGGGUAUAGACCCGAAACCCGGUGAUCUAGCCAUGGGCAGGUUGAAGGUUGGGUAACACUAACUGGAGGACCGAACCGACUAAUGUUGAAAAAUUAGCGGAUGACCUGUGGCUGGGGGUGAAAGGCCAAUCAAACCGGGAGAUAGCUGGUUCUCCCCGAAAGCUAUUUAGGUAGCGCCUCGUGAAUUCAUCUCCGGGGGUAGAGCACUGUUUCGGCUAGGGGGCCAUCCCGGCUUACCAACCCGAUGCAAACUGCGAAUACCGGAGAAUGUUAUCACGGGAGACACACGGCGGGUGCUAACGUCCGUCGUGAAGAGGGAAACAACCCAGACCGCCAGCUAAGGUCCCAAAGUCAUGGUUAAGUGGGAAACGAUGUGGGAAGGCCCAGACAGCCAGGAUGUUGGCUUAGAAGCAGCCAUCAUUUAAAGAAAGCGUAAUAGCUCACUGGUCGAGUCGGCCUGCGCGGAAGAUGUAACGGGGCUAAACCAUGCACCGAAGCUGCGGCAGCGACACUGUGUGUUGUUGGGUAGGGGAGCGUUCUGUAAGCCUGUGAAGGUGGCCUGUGAGGGUUGCUGGAGGUAUCAGAAGUGCGAAUGCUGACAUAAGUAACGAUAAAGCGGGUGAAAAGCCCGCUCGCCGGAAGACCAAGGGUUCCUGUCCAACGUUAAUCGGGGCAGGGUGAGUCGACCCCUAAGGCGAGGCCGAAAGGCGUAGUCGAUGGGAAACGGGUUAAUAUUCCCGUACUUGGUGUUACUGCGAAGGGGGGACGGAGAAGGCUAUGUUGGCCGGGCGACGGUUGUCCCGGUUUAAGCGUGUAGGCUGGUUUUCCAGGCAAAUCCGGAAAAUCAAGGCUGAGGCGUGAUGACGAGGCACUACGGUGCUGAAGCAACAAAUGCCCUGCUUCCAGGAAAAGCCUCUAAGCAUCAGGUAACAUCAAAUCGUACCCCAAACCGACACAGGUGGUCAGGUAGAGAAUACCAAGGCGCUUGAGAGAACUCGGGUGAAGGAACUAGGCAAAAUGGUGCCGUAACUUCGGGAGAAGGCACGCUGACACGUAGGUGAAGUGAUUUACUCAUGGAGCUGAAGUCAGUCGAAGAUACCAGCUGGCUGCAACUGUUUAUUAAAAACACAGCACUGUGCAAACACGAAAGUGGACGUAUACGGUGUGACGCCUGCCCGGUGCCGGAAGGUUAAUUGAUGGGGUCAGCGCAAGCGAAGCUCCUGAUCGAAGCCCCGGUAAACGGCGGCCGUAACUAUAACGGUCCUAAGGUAGCGAAAUUCCUUGUCGGGUAAGUUCCGACCUGCACGAAUGGCGUAAUGAUGGCCAGGCUGUCUCCACCCGAGACUCAGUGAAAUUGAACUCGCUGUGAAGAUGCAGUGUACCCGCGGCAAGACGGAAAGACCCCGUGAACCUUUACUAUAGCUUGACACUGAACAUUGAGCCUUGAUGUGUAGGAUAGGUGGGAGGCUUUGAAGUGUGGACGCCAGUCUGCAUGGAGCCGACCUUGAAAUACCACCCUUUAAUGUUUGAUGUUCUAACGUGGACCCGUAAUCCGGGUUGCGGACAGUGUCUGGUGGGUAGUUUGACUGGGGCGGUCUCCUCCUAAAGAGUAACGGAGGAGCACGAAGGUUGGCUAAUCCUGGUCGGACAUCAGGAGGUUAGUGCAAUGGCAUAAGCCAGCUUGACUGCGAGCGUGACGGCGCGAGCAGGUGCGAAAGCAGGUCAUAGUGAUCCGGUGGUUCUGAAUGGAAGGGCCAUCGCUCAACGGAUAAAAGGUACUCCGGGGAUAACAGGCUGAUACCGCCCAAGAGUUCAUAUCGACGGCGGUGUUUGGCACCUCGAUGUCGGCUCAUCACAUCCUGGGGCUGAAGUAGGUCCCAAGGGUAUGGCUGUUCGCCAUUUAAAGUGGUACGCGAGCUGGGUUUAGAACGUCGUGAGACAGUUCGGUCCCUAUCUGCCGUGGGCGCUGGAGAACUGAGGGGGGCUGCUCCUAGUACGAGAGGACCGGAGUGGACGCAUCACUGGUGUUCGGGUUGUCAUGCCAAUGGCACUGCCCGGUAGCUAAAUGCGGAAGAGAUAAGUGCUGAAAGCAUCUAAGCACGAAACUUGCCCCGAGAUGAGUUCUCCCUGAGACUUAGAGUCUCCUGAAGGAACGUUGAAGACGACGACGUUGAUAGGCCGGGUGUGUAAGCGCAGCGAUGCGUUGAGCUAACCGGUACUAAUGAACCGUGAGGCUUAACCUUACAACGCCGAAG